rnacentral:rRNA from 1 species
GAUGAACGCUGGCGGCGUGCCUAAUACAUGCAAGUCGAGCGAACGGACGAGAAGCUUGCUUCUCUGAUGUUAGCGGCGGACGGGUGAGUAACACGUGGAUAACCUACCUAUAAGACUGGGAUAACUUCGGGAAACCGGAGCUAAUACCGGAUAAUAUUUUGAACCGCAUGGUUCAAAAGUGAAAGACGGUCUUGCUGUCACUUAUAGAUGGAUCCGCGCUGCAUUAGCUAGUUGGUAAGGUAACGGCUUACCAAGGCAACGAUGCAUAGCCGACCUGAGAGGGUGAUCGGCCACACUGGAACUGAGACACGGUCCAGACUCCUACGGGAGGCAGCAGUAGGGAAUCUUCCGCAAUGGGCGAAAGCCUGACGGAGCAACGCCGCGUGAGUGAUGAAGGUCUUCGGAUCGUAAAACUCUGUUAUUAGGGAAGAAAAUAUGUGUAAGUAACUGGGCACAUCUUGACGGUACCUAAUCAGAAAGCCACGGCUAACUACG